UGGGGAAUAUUGGACAAUGGGGGAAACCCUGAUCCAGCAAUGCCGCGUGGGUGAUGAAGGCCUUCGGGUUGUAAAGCCCUUUUGGCGGGGACGAUGAUGACGGUACCCGCAGAAUAAGCCCCGGCUAACUUCGUGCCAGCAGCCGCGGUAAUACGAAGGGGGCUAGCGUUGUUCGGAAUUACUGGGCGUAAAGGGCGCGUAGGCGGUUGUGCAAGUCAGAUGUGAAAGCCCUGGGCUCAACCCAGGAGGUGCAUUUGAUACUGCACGACUAGAGUGUCGGAGAGGAUGGUGGAAUUCCCAGUGUAGAGGUGAAAUUCGUAGAUAUUGGGAAGAACACCGGUGGCGAAGGCGACCAUCUGGACGACAACUGACGCUGAGGCGCGAAAGCGUGGGGAGCAAACAGG
rnacentral:rRNA from 1 species